UCAAAAUUACUUGACACAAAUGUACCCAUUAUGAGACGACGUGUCAUGCGUAAGACCCAGUCCCCUAGCUCAAAGAUAAAGGUCACACUUGGAGGUCACAUGUUCAGAGCAUCAGUUUCAGUCCAGUUCAUAGCUCUGCCAUUCAUGAAGGGAUUUUAAAAUCACUUGGCACAAAUAUUCCCUGUAAUAAGACAAUAUGUCACGGACAAGACCCAGACCCCUGUCUCAAAGGUCAAGGUCACAUGUAGAAGUCAAAGAUAAUAGGUUUUUUUGUCUGGUCAGUAUCUUUACUUUGCAUGGAUGGAUAUACAAGUAACUUGACAUAAACAGUCACCAUAACAAAUUGAUUUGUUGCAUACAAGACUCAGACUCAAGGUCAAUGUCACUUUUGGAGAUAAAACAUUUUUGACAUUUUUUUUUCUGGUCUGUAACCUUUCUAUGCUUGGGAGUAUAUUUAAAUAACUUGGCAUGAAUAUUUACCAUUACAAGACAGUAUCCCAGUAAACACCUGACGUCGUACCGACGUUGGUUAGACGUUGGAUUUUGGUCGCGACGUCGGCGACCUGAAUCCAACGUCUAACCAACGUCAUAACCACGACGUCUAAUAGACGUCAGACUUUGACGUCUAGGAGACGUUGGAUUUAGGUUGGAAAGAAAGUUUGUUUACAUAUUUUUAGUUAUAAAAUUAACUUGAUUAAUUUUGCUAGUAUAGUUUAAAGAUAUUUAUGCCUGAACAUGCGCUUAUAAAUAAAUAGAUCUUUCGCACAUCAAACAUUAUCAUUAAUUAUGUUACAAAAUCGCACGAGACUGUCUAUUUUUGGAAACGGAAUUUUUUUACCAAUUUAAAACUGUUCAGGAAAAAAUUGCAUUCUAUACACAUAUUUAAAUUAUUCUAAAUUCACCUAAGGAUCUUCUUCUACACAUGUUGUUUAUUAGCCAUGCUUUCGCGAGAUAAGUCUGCAUCGGUCUACACAAGACUUCCGGUGGAAAAUUUAGCGGAGUUGAAGAAUCAUGCAAACGUGACAAAACAUGAAAGUUUCAAUUACUGGAUUACGCUUUGGAUUUAUAAUAUUAGACUUAUGUCGCUAUAAUGUGAAAUAAAGAUGAUUAAAUA
rnacentral:lncRNA from 1 species